UCUUCAUAGCUCCAUUUCUGUUGCAGCUUCAAGAAACCCAGGAUCAUUUCAAGGAUUGUCCGCCGCUGGUUGCUCUGUAAUGUUUUAAGGGGUAUUGGAGUCAAAGAAUAUUUUUUAAAGGAUUUCAGUCCUGCUACUGUGGAUGUGGAGAGGAUUAUCCUUGUAGCUGCCAUGGCCCCAUUACCCUGUAGAAUGUUGCUAAGGAAGGAGUCAAGGAGGUCCUCAGCAUCAGCCCUCAGCACAGAACGAGACAAACACGCGGUCAGGGAGUUAAGGGCCGCCAGGCCCUCGGCCUCUACCCGCUCACUUGCCGUCUGGAACACCUGUCAGGGAGGGAUCCCAUGGCUACUGAGGUGAGCCUGCACCAGUGCCUUCUAUGGACUGGGGCUGGACCCACCUCGGCAAAUCGCGGUGUAGAAGCCAGCACAGCUCGAAGACUGAGGAUGAGAUCCUCUCUCUGGAUACCGUAGGGAUCAUUAGGUGGCUGGAAAAGGGAGAAGGGGCCUGGGCUUGUAUGGCUCUUUGGAGCACCCUGGACACAGGGCUGAACCUGGAAACCCUGCAGAACAGGGUGUGAUUUAUCCCCAGUCUGGCAGAAGACUGUGGAAUGAGGCCCCGGCAGGAAGACAGCUUGCUCUUACAUGAUCCUUGGGAAUUUCUGUCUGGUGGGCGUUUAUUUUCUAAUUGAUCAUACAGUUUCUAUCUGAUCUAUCAUCUCACCACUCAGAGAUAAGCACCCUUACCUUUCUGGUGCAACUUUCUUCUCUCUAGAUAUAGUAUUAUGACUAUGUAAUUGGUAGACACUGCUCCCUUUAAAAUAUACAUACACUUUAAGAAAAUAUGAUCUUUUCUGAACAUAUGACUUGCAAUCCAUUCUUUCACUUAAUACAUUAGGUACAUUUUUUCAUGGUAUUAUUCUUUUAUAACAUUAGUUUUAGUGGCUGAUACUAUUCAUUUAUGUGGUUGAGCCACAAUUUAUUUAAAUAAUCUCCUUUUGAUGGACAUUUCUAUUUAUUCACCUUUAUAAAAAGCUGUACUCACAAGGAAAUGUCAAUAUUCUGUGAUAACCUUAGUGGGAGAAAAGAAUGGAUGUAUGUAUA